rnacentral:rRNA from 1 species
GAUGAACGCUGGCGGCGUGCCUAAUACAUGCAAGUCGAACGGUCUUUUCUAUGGAAGCUUGCUUCCACUGAGAAGAUAGUGGCGAACGGGUGAGUAACACGUGGGUAACCUGCCCAUAAGAGGGGGAUAACAUCCGGAAACGGGUGCUAAUACCGCAUAGUUUUCUUGAUCGCAUGAUCGAGAAAGGAAUGACGGCCUUUGUGCUGCCGCGUAUGGAUGGACUCGCUGCGUAUUAGUUAGUUGGUGAGGUAACGGCGCACCAAGACGAUGAUACGUAGCCGACCUGAAAGGGUGAUCGGCCACAUUGGGACUGAGACACGGCCCAAACUCCUACGGGAGGCAGCAGUAGGGAAUCUUCCGCAAUGGACGAAAGUCUGACGGAGCAACGCCGCGUGAGUAAAGAAGGUUUUCGGAUCGUAAAACUCUGUUGUCAGAGAAGAACAAGUCGGAGAGUAACUGCUCCGGCCUUGACGGUAUCUGACCAGAAAGCCACGGCUAACUACGUGCCAGCCGCCGCUGUAA